rnacentral:rRNA from 1 species
CCUACGGGAGGCUGCAGUGGGGAAUAUUGGACAAUGGGGGGAACCCUGAUCCAGCCAGGCCGCGUGUGUGAAGAAGGCCCUCGGUUUGUAAAGCACUUUCAGUGAGGAAGAACGCCUGUUGGUUAAUACCCAUCAGGAAAGACAUCACUCACAGAAGAAGCACCGGCUAACUCCGUGCCAGCAGCCGCGGUAAUACGGAGGGUGCGAGCGUUAAUCGGAAUUACUGGGCGUAAAGCGCGCGUAGGUGGCUUGAUAAGCCGGUUGUGAAAGCCCCGGGCUCAACCUGGGAACGGCAUCCGGAACUGUCAAGCUAGAGUGCAGGAGAGGAAGGUAGAAUUCCCGGUGUAGCGGUGAAAUGCGUAGAGAUCGGGAGGAAUACCAGUGGCGAAGGCGGCCUUCUGGACUGACACUGACACUGAGGUGCGAAAGCGUGGGUAGCAAACAGGAUUAGAUACCCCAGUAGUC